GCUCAGCUGACGAGUCUUAAAUAGGACGAAACACGUGUCCUGGAU
rfam:Schistosoma curassoni strain Dakar, Senegal genome assembly, scaffold: SCTD_scaffold0006031